rnacentral:rRNA from 1 species
UACGUAGGGAGCAAGCGUUGUUCGGAUUUACUGGGCGUAAAGGGCGCGUAGGCGGCCGCCUAAGUCAGACGUGAAAUCCCUCGGCUCAACCGGGGAACUGCGUCUGAUACUGGGUGGCUUGAAUCCGGGAGAGGGAUGCGGAAUUCCAGGUGUAGCGGUGAAAUGCGUAGGAUAUCUGGAGGAACACCGGUGGCGAAGGCGGCGAUCCUGGACCGG